rnacentral:rRNA from 1 species
AUGUGCUUUCAUUGGUCAUGUUCUGUGUGUUUUGGGCUGACCCAAUGCAUUUCAGUUAAUCUAUAUGUACCGUUGUUUGUUAUUUUAUAUACUUUCAUGCAUUUUCUAUGCCUGAUCUGUUUCCUAUGUUCUUUCCAUUUGUGUUGCAGAUCAUGUCACUCUUCCACUGUCUUGUUGGUUCAUGUACUGUUGUUCGUUGCCAAAGUCUUGUUGUUGUGGCACUCUCUUGUCAUCACACGCGCUGCUGUUUUUGACUGCCAAGAUUUGUGCUGUAUAUAUUAUAGUUCAAAAGCUUUUCGUUAUGCUUCCUAUCUCGAAAAUAAGAAUAGCUCCAUGGGUGAGAAAGGGUGCUCCAGAAGGGCCAGAAAUUUGGCCAUUGUAAAUUUGGACCAACACACAUGA